rnacentral:tRNA from 1 species
AGGAUUAUAGUUUAAUAAAAACAUUUGAUUUGCAUUCAAAAUAUAUUGAAAUCUCAAUUUAUCUUA